ensembl:lncRNA
CAAGACAGAGUCUGACCAUCGCAGUACACACCCUUUUGGCUUUUGAUGUUCUGAAUCGGGGGUCUGGGCCUGCUCCAGGGGUUAGGGGCCCUGGGGUGAUGGUCAGGAGCUGACAUUGUUCACCACUCAUUCUGACCUCAGUGGUACCCAGCCCAGUGCCCACAGACACUGUUAUCCCAUUUCACAGGUGGAGAAAGUAAGGAUCCGAAAGGGGAGUCAGCUUAGCCACGGCCCUGUAAUAGAGUCAGACACAGGGCUCAGGUCUGGAGUGGCCAGAAACCCGCCCUUCCCACUCUCUGGGGACUGGCAAGAGGAGGCACAAGCUGGGCCAGAUGGGACUGAGGAUAUGGACCCCAGUAAGAAGCAGAUCCAUGUCAAGAGCUCCAGGCUGUCAGGCCGCAGAGUCCCUGUGCUUUUGUGACACCCCAGGGACAGCCCCCACCCCCAGAGCUGCCUCAGCCUCACUCUGGGCCGUGACUCUGCCUCCAUGCCCAGUUCCCUCCAGGAAGCCUUCUCUGGCAGGCGGAUUCUUGACCACUGAGCCACCUGGGAAGCCCUCUACUCCUGACACUCUUAUCUGCCUGUGCAUCACUGACUCUCAGCAAGUCCCUAUCCUCUGACCAUGCCUCCACCACCGCCUGAGACUUCCCUUUGGGAUUUUGCACUCUGCAUCCAUCCUGAGCACUCAUGGCUCCACGGUCCCUCUCCAGGACUUCUCACCUCCAUGCCCUUUCCUGUGCCAUUCCUGACACCUGGCAAUCCUUCCCCCAGUCCCCCUUGUACAGGUUUCGAUUUUACGAUUCAUCUGUUAUUUCUGCAUUCAUUUAUCCAUAACAAAUGCUUUACCACGUGUCUACUCUGUAUCCAGCUCUGGGCCAGGUACUUUCACAGAAGUUACCAAUCCUCAUGCCAGCCUUCCAAGGGCGAGAGUGUUAUCUGCAUUUUAUGGAGGAAGCAACUGGGGCUCAGAGAGGUUAAGUCACUUGCCUAAGACAACCUGGCUGGCAAGCGGCAGAGCUGGGAUUUGGCACCAACUUGCCAGCCUCUGGAGCCUAGCCUUCUCCAGAAUGCUCUGUCUUGCGUG